AGACAGCAGUCGCCACGGGAAUACGUAGGGGGCGAGCGUUAUCCGGAAUAACUGGGCGUAAAGGGUGCGUAGGUGGUUUAACAAGUUAGUGGUGAAAGGCAUAGGCUCAACCAAUGUAAGCCAUUAAAACUGUUUAACUUGAGUGCAGGAGAGGAAAGUGGAAUUCCUAGUGUAGCGGUGAAAUGCGUAGAUAUUAGGAGGAAUACCAGUGGCGAAGGCGACUUUCUGGACUGCAACUGACACUGAGGCACGAAAGCGUGGGGAGCAAACAGGAUUAGAGACCCCCGUAGUCCCUGUCUCUUAUACA
rnacentral:rRNA from 1 species